GGAACCUGCGGAAGGAUCAUUACCGAGUUAGGGUGCCCCGGCGUCAAACACCGCGGGUGCUCGACCUCCCAACCCUUUGCUUACUUGACCUUUUGUUGCUUCGGCGGGCCCGCCUCCGGGCCGCCGGGAGUCGGUGACACGCUCCUGGCCAGUCUCGCCCGCCGACGGCCCCAAAAUUCAAAAACUCUUGACCAAACGUGUCGUCUGAUUGUUUACAAAAAACACAAUAAAAACAAAACUUUCAACAACGGAUCUCUUGGUUCUGGCAUCGAUGAAGAACGCAGCGAAAUGCGAUAAGUAAUGCGAAUUGCAGAAUCCGUGAGUCAUCGAAUCUUUGAACGCAUAUUGCGCCCUUUGGUAUUCCGAAGGGCAUGCCUGUUCGAGCGUCAUUAUCACCCCUCAAGCCCGGCUUGUUGUUGGGCCACGUCCCCGUCCACCGUUGGGACCGGCCCCAAAGAUAAUGACGGCGUCUGUGAGGACUCCAGUACACUGAGCUUUCGGGCACGUACUCGGCCAGAACUUCAGGCCCGUCCAACCCAUUUUGCCCCCCCGCGCCCUCGCGGGCCCGGGGACCAAAAUACUUUUCAAGGUUGACCUCGGAUCAGGUAGGAAUACCCGCUGAACUUAAGCAUAUCAAU
rnacentral:rRNA from 1 species